rnacentral:rRNA from 1 species
UACGUAGGGUGCAAGCGUUGUCCGGAAUUAUUGGGCGUAAAGGGCUCGUAGGCGGUCUGUCACGUCGGGAGUGAAAACUCCGGGCUUAACCCUGAGCCUGCUUCCGAUACGGGCAGACUAGAGGUAUGCAGGGGAGAACGGAAUUCCUGGUGUAGCGGUGAAAUGCGCAGAUAUCAGGAGGAACACCGGUGGCGAAGGCGGUUCUCUGGGCAUUACCUGACGCUGAGGAGCGAAAGCGUGGGGAGCGAACAGG